GAUGAACGCUGACAGAAUGCUUAACACAUGCAAGUCUUUGGCGAAGCUGUGCUUGCACAGCCUAGCCAAGGCGGACGGGUGAGUAACGCGUAAGGAACUUGCCCUGCAGUCAGGGAUAACAGACGGAAACGACUGAUAAGACCUGGUAAAGUCAGGCGGACUCAUGUCCAGCCUGAUGAAAAGAGAUGCUGCAGGAGAGCCUUGCGUCCUAUUAGCUUGUUGGUGGGGUAACGGCCCACCAAGGCGAUGAUAGGUAGCCGGCCGGAGAGGGUGGACGGCCACAAGGGGACUGAGAUACGGCCCUUACUCCUACGGGAGGCAGCAGUGGGGAAUAUUGGACAAUGGGGGCAACCCUGAUCAAGCAAUUCUGUGUGCACGAUGAAGGUUUUCGGAUUGUAAAGUGCUUUCAGAAGGGAAGAAAAAAAUGACGGUACCUGCAGAAGAAGCGACGGCUAAAUACGUG
rnacentral:rRNA from 1 species